rnacentral:rRNA from 1 species
UAUGUAAGAUCGGAUAUAACGAAUAAAAUUCUAAAUAAAUUAUGAUAAUGACAUUUUUUAUUUAUAUGUCUUGACCAAAUUACGUGCCAGCAGUCGCGGUAAUACGUAAGAGACUAGUGUUAUUCAUGUUUAAUGGGUUUAAAGGGUACUUAGACUGUAAAUUAAGCCUUAAAUGGAACUAAUUUGCUAGAGUUACUAUUAAAGAGGCUAUAAAGUACUAAUGGUGUAAAGAUAAAAUUUUAUAAUACCAUUUCUCGAUAGAGAAACAAUGGCACAGGUGACGGCGAAGGCAUCCUCUUAGUAGAUAACUGACGUUAAGGGACGAAAGCUUUGAAUCACAAAUAGGAUUAGACACCCUAGUAGUUGAAGCUGUAAAUUAUGAGCGCCAUAGGUUAUGUUUUAUCCUAUAAACGAAAGUGCAAGCGUUUCACCUCAAGAGUAAUAUGGCAACAUUGGAACUGAAAUCAUUAGACCGUUUCUGAAAUCAGUAGUGGAGUAUGUUGUUUAAUUCGAUAAUCCGCGAAAAACCUUACCACAAUUUGAAUAUAUAUACCUUAUGUAUAUUUACAAGCGUUGCACGGCUGUCUUCAGUUAAUGUUGUGAGACUUUGGUUAGAUCCAUUUAAUUAACGUAAACCCUUGCUUUAUUUUUCUAUAAAGUAGUUCUCCAUAAUAUCGGUUAAGACAAUAGGGACUAAGACAAGUCAUCAUGG